rnacentral:rRNA from 2 species
CCUGCCUAUAAGACUGGGAUAACUUCGGGAAACCGGAGCUAAUACCGGAUACGUUCUUUUCUCGCAUGAGAGAAGAUGGAAAGACGGUUUACGCUGUCACUUAUAGAUGGGCCCGCGGCGCAUUAGCUAGUUGGUGAGGUAAUGGCUCACCAAGGCGACGAUGCGUAGCCGACCUGAGAGGGUGAUCGGCCACACUGGGACUGAGACACGGCCCAGACUCCUACGGGAGGCAGCAGUAGGGAAUCUUCCGCAAUGGACGAAAGUCUGACGGAGCAACGCCGCGUGAACGAAGAAGGCCUUCGGGUCGUAAAGUUCUGUUGUUAGGGAAGAACAAGUACCAGAGUAACUGCUGGUACCUUGACGGUACCUAACCAGAAAGCCACGGCUAACUACGUGCCAGCAGCCGCGGUAAUACGUAGGUGGCAAGCGUUGUCCGGAAUUAUUGGGCGUAAAGCGCGCGCAGGUGGUU